GGGAGAGGGAAGAUGGAGAUGGAGGGAGAGAUUUGGGGAUUUAAAUUUUGAGUGAAAUUUGGAUUUCCUAAAUGGGUUGUAGGCGAAAAAAGAGUUGGGUUUGGCAAGCAGAUGGCCGGAGAGAGAGAGAGUGUGGGUUCGGCCGGAGACAGAGAGAGAUGGACCAGAUGAAUUUCAGAAAUCAUGGCAAGUAUGCAACCAUCUCCAGCAACGUUGAAUUUGUUACGGGGGAAGCUCAAAAGCUGGUACUAACCCAAUACAGGAAACGAAUUUCGUGCUUAGUGACUGUAAUCUGGAGAAUCACGAAGUAAUUUUUAAGGCCGUGCUAGCGGUGAAGAAGCAAAGCGGCAUCGUUGUUGUCUGGUACAAUGCGUUCUCCAAGGAGUCCUGGUGGUGCAGUGGAGCAAGAACCGAGUUGCUGCCGAUCGGAGAAGGGUUGCUUGUGACUAGAAUUGCUCGGACUGCCAAAAUUGGUGGCACUGGCUGUGGAAUUGGGAAGAGUCACUGGGUCGGGUUUGAGAAGGAUGCGCCGGUGGCAUGGUCCAGCCCGGUUGGAUUAACGUCUCCCAGAAAGACUGUGGGGUUCUGAUAAUUUGCGGUCUUCUGGGUCGGGUUCGAGAAGGAGAUGGAUCUGGGCAAGUGGAAGAGAUUGAGGAGGUCUGGUGUUGGGGGAUACAGAGAUUGAGGAACUUGAUUAGUUAUUAUUUAAUGAUUAAUUACAAAAAGUUUCACCACUGAGGAUGAUUAAUUGUCUAUUAUUUUGGGCUAGGGAGUAUUUGCUGCACCUAUUCAUCCCCA